CAAUGCCAGUUUAAUGUUAGAAUCGCUUCGUGGGAAGAGGAUGAUGUUUGUCGGCGACUCCAUUAACCGGGGUCAGUAUGUCUCUUUGAUAUGCCUUCUCCAUCAACUCAUUCCCCAACAUGCCAAAUCCAUCUUGUAAUGGAGCAACCAUGGAGGAAUUAGAAGAGAAAAGAAGAGCCCAAGUAGUAGCAAAGCUUCAUGCAAUUCUUAGGCCAUUUCUUUUGCCUACAAUGAAGUCUGAUGUUGAGCUAAUGUUGCCACGGAAAAAAGAGAUCAUUGUAUAUGCUAACAUGACUGAGCAUUAGAAGAGCUUGCAGGAACAUUUAAUUAAUGAGACACUAGGGAAAUAUUUGAAUGACAAACUUUCAAUUGGACGCUCUGUGACAAAGCUCAAUAAUUUGGUUCUUCAACUUAGGAAAGUCUGUAACCAUCCUGACCUCCUAGAAUCGGCUUUUGAUCGUUCAUAUUUUUAUCCUCCUGUGAAUGAGAUCAUUGAACAAUGUGGAAAAUUCCAUUUGCUCAACCGAUUGUUGGAACGACUAUUUGCACGA